GCAACUUCUGUUUCCAGCCUUAAAUAUCAAUGUAUCUCAUUAACUGUAAGCGAUGCUUGCAGCAAUUAGAAAGAACGGAGAUGGAAGUGCCUAUGCUGUACGCCUCGGCUGUGUGAUUUUAUAGGCAAACUCUGGCAACCCUUUGCAAGUCGGCUUCUGCAGUCGAAUAAUGGGACCGGCAUUUUCCCACCCCCUCCCAGGCAAGGCUCAGAGGAGACAGGGCUGAGCAGGUGUUCAUGCUAUGUCAGACUGAGCGUGACAGCUGUUGGUCUCCAAAAUAGCCCGCUGUUCCGAGACAAGAAAUCAGUGUUGGAGUGUGACCCUGGAGCUCUGAUCCCGUUUCUACACCUUCCAGGUGCUGCUGGAAGACACAGGUAAUAUCUAGCUUAGAAGGAUUUGGAGAAAUCCUUGAGCCGGUGCUCAACACAAUGCAUGUACUCAGCACACUGUGACCACUGUUAGUGUCAGAAAGCAAGCCCCGGGGAAACAGCAAACAAAAUGAGGUUCCCCCUUUAUUUAGGAGGCGAUAGACAUCUUUCUGGAUUUGUGAGACAUAUGUAUUAUAAACAUAUACAAGUAGCUUGAUCUUUCUUUUUACAUAGCUACCAAAAUGACAUCAGUAAUGCACAGUUAGUGAGAAAAGACCAAUAAGCUCAAAGGAGAAACUGCAUCACCCAUAGCCCUGCCAUCCAGGGUGCCUACUGGGAGGCCUUUGGCAGGGGUUGUGUCUCCCACUUUCUGACACUUUUGUCCCACACAGCUCUAGGUAGCUAAUGUUACAGAUCUUAAGGUCAAAAAGAAGACACUUGAUGGCAAAGAGCCCUAGAUUCUAAGGAAAGCGACUUGAGUUCAAGUCUCCCUGUGGUACUAAAUAGCAGUGCAAUGCUUUCUGCUUUGGUGCUAAAUUUUCUCCUUUACAUUGUGAAUUCAUUUGAGUGGAUUAAUUGAGUUUCCAGAAGUAUGGAAUAUGGACAUAUUUUAAUUUUUUUUACAUACUAUGCCUUUAUUAGGCACAGCCAAAUUGAAGCACAGGCAUAUAUUUUUACAAAAUCUGUACCCAGCAAAUCAGACCUUUGAUUUCAUAAAUGUGUACUGAAAUACAUUCAUCUAAAUAAAAAAGCUAGUUGACUCAAGGCAAAUUGUAAGUAACAGUGAGAUGGCAUUCAGACAAGGCAAACAAGCUCGGCGUGGCUGGGGAUGCCUGAGAGUUGGGAAAUGUGGGACCAAAUGGUCUCUAAAUUAUUUCCAGCUCUAAGAUUCUUUGGAGGGACUAGUGGAGUCAGUCACAGGGCCUCUCCCAGGCCUGUGCUCCCCCAUCUCUGACAACGCUCCAUCGCAACCCCAAGUUUUUCACUGGAUGGCAUUUUGUCUAAAAGUUCUCUCUGUGCCAUUGCUGAGAACUGUCCUCAUACCACACAGUGGCAGAGCUCACACUUGGAGGAAGAAUGAAUGAAUAUGGUCUGGGAAGACUUUUUCAACUCAUUCAGAUCCUGUGUGCAUUUAUUGAGCACCCAUUGUGUGCCAGUUGCCAUGGUGAGUACUCUUGCAUGAACUGUCACUUUUAAUUCUUAUGGCAACUUUGCAAAAUUUUACCCACAGCUUUGUCUCCAAGGGGGCCUUUGGUUGGUCACUUAGCCAGUGGGACUCUUUGUCUUUGGUAAAAUGGGAUUAAUGAAGUCUUUCCUGUGCACUUCAUGGGACUAGCAUGAGGAUCAAAGGAGACUGUGUGUGUGAAGUUUCCUGAAAAAUAUGAAGUUCUGGCCGGGUGCGGUAGCUCACGCCUGUAAUCCCAGCACUUUGGGAGACCUCGGAUGGAUCACAAGGUCAGGAGUUCAAGACCAGCCUGGCCAAGAUGGUGAAACUCCGUCUCUACCAAAAAUACAAAAAUUAGCCAGGUGCGGUGGCAGGCACCUGUAAUCCCAGCUACUCUGGAGGCUGAGGCAGGAGAAUCACUUGAACCUGGGGGGGCAGAGGUUGCAGUGAGCCAAGACCAUGCCACUGCACUCCAGCCCGGGUGACAGAGUGAGACUCCAGCUCAAAAAAAGAAAAAAGAACUUCUACCCAAAGGGACAGGAAAAAAGACACCAGAAAACCUCUCCUGUUCUGUCCUUUUUCUUUGCUGAUGCUCACACUCUACGGUUAGAUUAUUGUGAGGACUGAAGAUGUCAUUUCAGUUGUCAGAGCUCUCCUUGCUCCCCGUGCAAACUCCAAUUUGUCACAACCCCUCUCAGAUUUCAUUGGUGAUCCCUGGCUUCUUCUACGAUCAGUAAGUGGUUACAUUCUAAGCUCUUGGGCCUGAUAAACCUGACCUUGGGUUCCACCUCUGCAACUUAGGUGUGUCUGUGGGCUGGUCGUUCGACCCCUCUGCAUCCCACACUCCUCACCUCCUGUGGGAAUGGCUGCCCUGUGGUCUGCUGGGAAGAUGAAAUGUGCCGAAAUUUAUAAAGCGGUGGGCACAGUGCAUGGCUCAUAGCAUGUGGUAAAUGCAUGAAGUUAUUAUUAAUAACUACUCUGUAAAAUAUGAGGAUUAUUAUACCACUUAAGAGAUAAAGAAACUGAGGCUCAGAGAGGUAAAACUGCUUGUUCAAAGCUGUACAACUAGUAAAUAGCAGAGUGGAGAUUUGAGCCCAUUUCUCACUCAGUUCAUGCUGCUUGUUUUCACCCCCUCCCUGGGAAGGGAUAAGGUGUUUCUAUGAGAGAGAGAGAGGUGCCUUUGAUCUGGAUCACAUAUAAUCAUCUCUUUCUUCUGUUUGUAUGGUGCCUUCCACUUUCAAUAGCCUUUUCAUUCAUUCUCUCAUAAAAUGUGGCUGAUGUGGUCACCACCAAGCCUGGAUUAUGCUUUGGACUCCAUCUCUGGCAUCUUAAUUCUGCUUAAAAUGUCCUUAAGUUCCAUAAUUUGCAGAUAAAAAAUGAGGAUGCCUCAUUUGACCCAUCACUUAUGCACCACCUGACAACAGCUAUUACAAAAUAUCUGGAAUUAAAUUGUCCCAGAAAACUUGUUUAUUUGGUUUCUGCACAGAAAUAUUUCAUCUGCUUAUAAAUCAUGCUGUCCCCACCGAACUCACUGCUGUCAGUGCACAGCUGGGUGCAGGAAUAGAAAGGACAGGAAGUGAGGGCUGAGCUCUGUUGAGUUCCAUAUGCAUGGUGGUUAAGAGCAUGUGCCUUGGCUGCCUUCAGGAAGACUUGUGUUCAAAUCCUGCAUCCCCUCUUCUCAGCUGAUGUGAUCCACUCAGCCCUUCUGAGCCUGAGUUUCUUUCUUUCUUUGUUUUUUUUUUUUUGGCAGAAUCUCUAUCUGUGGCCCAGGCUGGAGUGCAGUGGUGCAAUCUCAGCUCAGGGCAACCUCUGCCAUCCAGGAUCAAGCAAUUCUCCUGCCUCAGCCUCUCGAGUAGCUGGGAUUACAAGCACGCAACACCACACCCAGCUAAUUUUUGUAUUUUUUAGUAGAGACAGAGUUUCACCAUGUUGGCCAGGCUGGUCUCGAACUCCUGACCUCAGGUAAUCCGCCUGCCUCGGCCUCCCAAAGCGUUGGGAUUACAGGUGUGAGCCACCGCACCAGGCCCCGAGUUUCUUUAUUUGUAAAAUCAUCUCUGUCUUUGAGGGCUUUGAUGAAAUGAGAAAACCCAUAGACUGUAAAUCAUUGAGCUCAGCACAAUUCCUGGCCCAUUUAAGUGCUCAAUAAAUAGUAACAAUGAUCAUUUGACCUUCACUUCCAGUGGGAAGACCAGGCUCCUUUGAUGAUACCCAUCCUGAGAUCAAGUAAAAUCAUGUCUGCCGCUAUUUCCUGGGCGCUCGGAAUUUUCUUGAUCAGUACACGAGUCCCAGCUGUGGGGAUGGCCUGCAAUCAGGCCUCGGCAUAGAUGCCUGCAGAAUUUGUAACCAGCAAUUAUUACCGUAUUUUCUUCUUUUCGAGGUCCACUUUGUCUUUUUUCCUUUUUUUUAACUUGAGUGAAAUCAGAGCAGGUUGUAAAAUCUAUGGGUACACUUAGCAUAGUGGUAAAUCUCUUGAUUUCCUUUUGUUCCAGAAAAGCUGUCGAACCAUCAGUGGCAACGCAGAGUGAGAGAAAAUGCGAAACUUCCGUUUCUUGCAUUGCUUCCAACCCUGGGUCUGUUCUGUGUGAUUGUGAUUGCAGGAGCUCAACUCAGGCUUGUUCUGUGAAGCCGGAACCCUUGGUGAUGGAGCCUCCGGGGAAUGAGCUGGUGCUGUGGCGCCCUCUGGUGUCCACGUGGCUUCCGCCAGGACUUGCAAGAGGCUGCGCAGAAGGCGCAAAGGAAGAUUUUUAAAAACAUCUGUCCAACUUUCCUUCCUCCUGCAAAAAGAAUGCUGCAGGUAGUGUGAGAGGUCUCAUGCCUGUCUCAUGCGCAAUAGUAUGAGUGAUAAGAUCGGCCUUUCAUGAGAAGAUAACGCAGCAAGCAUAACCCAAAUGGUGGGUCCCGGCCAGGGGGAUCUCUUCUCAGAACAGGUCUACGAAAGCCCAGGUUUGCUUUAGCUGUUUCUUUGCUAAAGCCAAACCCAGCUCUGCUUUCUCGAACAACCUGAGCCCGAAGGUCUUUACUCUACUCUGCUCUGUGUCUGCCAAGGACAAGAAAGAAGGAGAAAGGAUGCUGGGUCCGGAGAACGACUCCUUAGGAACGAGAAGAGAGAGGGACUAACAUAUACUUCCAGGACCCUGGUCCUGCCUCUGUGACCCGUCCUGCACUUUGAUCUCCUGGCGCUCCUCAGACUGGGCGGCUCCAGCUGUUUGACUCUGCAACUGACAUCGGUCAUACGCGCUCUGCUUUCACUCGGAGGCCGGGAUCUAGUCCCCAGCACUGGUCUCAUAACAGAUCACUGGAAGGAAGAAGCAUAGCCUGAUCACCCAGCCUGAUUGAGGAUGAAAUGGAAAUCUAGGGGUCAGAAGAAAAUGGGAAAGGAACCAUCAGCCUCAGUCAUUUCAACAGAGCCAACCCACAGACCAUGACCAAGCAAAUCUUGCCAUCGUGAUCAUGACCAGUUAGCAUUUAGAAUGUAUCGCUGUAUGCUUUGAUGAUUUUGAUGCUGCCUUUUUGGAUUUACCCUAUAAGAAAGACUCCCUGAACUCCAACACUAUCUCCAGCAUUAUUCACAUUUUCAGGCAGUGUGGUCCCCCAGCUAACAGCAUUAGCACCAGCUCAGAGCUUGCUAGAAAUGCAAAUGCUUAGACCUACUGAGUCAGGAAUUUGGGGCACGGGCCCAGCAAUCUGUGUUUUACAAAACCUCCCAGGUAAGCGAUAUAUGCUAGGACCCUUACAAGGGAAAACAGAGGGGAUCCAGUAUGUGCUGUGUACCUUCCUUGGCGUUUUCUUGUAUAUGAUUAUAUAGGUGGGGUCAGUUUGAGUGGUUGGUGAUCUGAGAUGAUGCUGAGCUUCAAAGAGGAAGACCUAUUGGACAGCUUUCCAUGUAUUUGCAGAUGAAGUGCCACCAUUUUGUUUGAAAUGAGUUUAUGUAUAAUACAUAUACAUUAUAUUUAAACAAGAAUACGUGUUACUAAGUAAAGUAUAAAAACCAAACAUACUCCUACCAUGUGAUCCAGCAAUUGUAUUCCUUAGUAUCUAUCCCCAAAGAAUUGACGACAUCGCUGGAUGUGAUGGCUCAUGCCUGUAAUCUCAGCACUUUGGGUGGCUGACGGGGGUGGAUCAUGAGGUCAGGAGAUCAAGACCAUCCUG
rnacentral:lncRNA from 10 species